rnacentral:rRNA from 1 species
CCUCGGGUGGCAGCAGUGGGGAAUAUUGGACAAUGGGCGAAAGCCUGAUCCAGCCAUGCCGCGUGUGUGAAGAAGGCCUUCGGGUUGUAAAGCACUUUCAGUGGGGAAGAAAGCCUUGGGGCUAAUACCCUCGAGGAAGGACAUCACCCACAGAAGAAGCACCGGCUAACUCCGUGCCAGCAGCCGCGGUAAUACGGAGGGGUGCGAGCGUUAAUCGGAAUUACUGGGCGUAAAGCGCGCGUAGGCGGUCUGAUAAGCCGGUUGUGAAAGCCCCGGGCUCAACCUGGGAACGGCAUCCGGAACUGUCAGGCUAGAGUGCAGGAGAGGAAGGUAGAAUUCCCGGUGUAGCGGUGAAAUGCGUAGAGAUCGGGAGGAAUACCAGUGGCGAAGGCGGCCUUCUGGACUGACACUGACGCUGAGGUGCGAAAGCGUGGGUAGCAAACAGGAUUAGAUACCCAGUAGUC